rnacentral:rRNA from 1 species
AACGAACGCUGGCGGCGUGGAUAAGACAUGCAAGUCGAACGGGAUAUCAUUUGUAGCAAUACAGAUGAUGUUCAGUGGCGAAAGGGUGCGUAACACGUGGGCAAUCUACCGAGAAGUGGGGCAUAGCUCGCCGAAAGGCGAAUUAAUACCGCAUGUGACCUUGGACCUCCUAGUCUGAGCGUCAAAGCCGGGGCAACCUGGCGCUUCUUGAUGAGCCCGCGGCCUAUCAGCUAGUUGGUGAGGUAACGGCUCACCAAGGCUUUGACGGGUAGCUGGUCUGAGAGGACGACCAGCCACACUGGAACUGAGACACGGUCCAGACACCUACGGGUGGCAGCAGUCGAGAAUUUUUCACAAUGGGGGAAACCCUGAUGGAGCGACGCCGCGUGGAGGAUGAAGGCCUUCGGGUUGUAAACUCCUGUCAUUGGUGAACAAGAUUGGCCGGGUAACUCCGUGCCGAUUUGCUAGUAGCCGAAGAGGAAGGGACGGCUAACUCUGUGCCAGCCGCCGCCGUAACAC